rnacentral:rRNA from 1 species
CAACUUUCAGCAACGGAUCUCUUGGCUCUCGCAUCGAUGAAGAACGCAGCGAAAUGCGAUAAGUAAUGUGAAUUGCAGAAUUCAGUGAAUCAUCGAAUCUUUGAACGCACCUUGCACUCCUUGGUAUUCCGAGGAGUAUGCCUGUUUGAGUCUCAUG